GUAGGGAAUAUUGGGCAAUGGAUGCAAGUCUGACCCAGCCAUCCCGCGUGCCGGAAGAAGGCCCUCAGGGUAGUAAACGGCUUUUGACGGUGAAGAAUCGACGGGAUGCGUCCUGUUUUGACGGUAGCCGUUGAAUAAGCACCGGCUAACUCCGUGCCAGCAGCCGCGGUAAUACGGAGGGUGCGAGCGUUGUCCGGAUUUAUUGGGUUUAAAGGGUGCGUAGGCUGGAAGGUCAGUCAGCGGUGAAAAGCUGUCGCUUAACGAUAGUCUUGCCGCAGAUACUUCCUUUCUUGGAUGAGGAGGAGGCCACUGGAACGGAUGGUGUAGCGGUGAAAUGCAUAGAUAUCAUCCAGAACACCGAUUGCGAAGGCAGGUGGCUGUACCUUAAUCGACGCUGAUGCACGAAAGCAUGGGGAGCAAACAGGAUUAGAAACCCUGGUAGUCC
rnacentral:rRNA from 1 species